UACGUAGGCAGCGAGCGUUGUUCGGAGUUACUGGGCGUAAAGAGUGCGUAGGCGGUUUUCUAAGUUUGGUGUGAAAUCUCCCGGCUUAACUGGGAGGGUGCGCCGAAAACUGGAAGGCUUGAGUAUGGGAGAGGUAAGCGGAAUUCCUGGUGUAGCGGUGAAAUGCGUAGAUAUCAGGAGGAACACCGAUGGCGAAGGCAGCUCGCUGGGACGGUACUGACGCUGAGGCGCGAAAGCGUGGGGAGCGAACAGG
rnacentral:rRNA from 1 species